ACGAACGCUGGCGGCGUGCUUAACACAUGCAAGUCGCACGGAAAGGCCCUGCUUUUGUGGGGUGCUCGAGUGGCGAACGGGUGAGUAACACGUGAGUAACCUGCCCUUGACUUUGGGAUAACUUCAGGAAACUGGGGCUAAUACCGGAUAGGAGCUCCUGCUGCAUGGUGGGGGUUGGAAAGUUUCGGCGGUUGGGGAUGGACUCGCGGCUUAUCGGCUUGUUGGUGGGGUAGUGGCUUACCAAGGCUUUGACGGGUAGCCGGCCUGAGAGGGUGACCGGCCACAUUGGGACUGAGAUACGGCCCAGACUCCUACGGGAGGCAGCAGUGGGGAAUAUUGCACAAUGGGCGGAAGCCUGAUGCAGCAACGCCGCGUGCGGGAUGACGGCCUUCGGGUUGUAAACCGCUUUCGCCUGUGACGAAGCGUGAGUGACGGUAAUGGGUAAAGAAGCACCGGCUAACUACGUG
rnacentral:rRNA from 1 species